rnacentral:rRNA from 1 species
AGUGAACGCUGGCGGUAGGCCUAACACAUGCAAGUCGAACGGCAGCACAGUAAGAGCUUGCUCUUACGGGUGGCGAGUGGCGGACGGGUGAGGAAUACAUCGGAAUCUACUUUUUCGUGGGGGAUAACGUAGGGAAACUUACGCUAAUACCGCAUACGACCUACGGGUGAAAGCAGGGGAUCUUCGGACCUUGCGCGAUUGAAUGAGCCGAUGUCGGAUUAGCUAGUUGGCGGGGUAAAGGCCCACCAAGGCGACGAUCCGUAGCUGGUCUGAGAGGAUGAUCAGGCACACUGGGAAUGAGGCACGGUCCAAAAUCCUACGGGGAGCCACCGUGGGGAAAUUUUGACAAUUGGGGGAAAGCUUAUCCAGGCAUACCGGGGUGGGUGAAGAGGCCCUUGGGUUGGUAAACCCUUUUUGUUGGAAAGAAAAGCAACAGGGUAAUUCCCCGGUUGUCUUGCGGUUACCAAAGAAUAAGCAACGGCUUACCUCGUU